rnacentral:rRNA from 1 species
GACGAACGCUGGCGGCGUGCUUAACACAUGCAAUUCGAACGGAAAGGCCCUGCUUUUGUGGGGUGCUCGAGUGGCGAACGGGUGAGUAACACGUGAGUAACCUGCCCUUGACUUUGGGAUAACUUCAGGAAACUGGGGCUAAUACCGGAUAGGAGCUCCUGCUGCAUGGUGGGGGUUGGAAAGUUUCGGCGGUUGGGGAUGGACUCGCGGCUUAUCAGCUUGUUGGUGGGGUAGUGGCUUACCAAGGCUUUGACGGGUAGCCGGCCUGAGAGGGUGACCGGCCACAUUGGGACUGAGAUACGGCCCAGACUCCUACGGGAGGCAGCAGUGGGGAAUAUUGCACAAUGGGCGGAAGCCUGAUGCAGCAACGCCGCGUGCGGGAUGACGGCCUUCGGGUUGUAAACCGCUUUCGCCUGUGACGAAGCGUGAGUGACGGUAAUGGGUAAAGAAGCACCGGCUAACUACGUGCCAGCAGCCGCGGUGAUACGUAGGGUGCGAGCGUUGUCCGGAUUUAUUGGGCGUAAAGGGCUCGUAGGUGGUUGAUCGCGUCGGAAGUGUAAUCUUGGGGCUUAACCCUGAGCGUGCUUUCGAUACGGGUAGACUUGAGGAAGGUAGGGGAGAAUGGAAUUCCUGGUGGAGCGGUGGAAUGCGCAGAUAUCAGGAGGAACACCAGUGGCGAAGGCGGUUCUCUGGGCCUUUCCUGACGCUGAGGAGCGAAAGCGUGGGGAGCGAACAGGCUUAGAUACCCUGGUAGUCCACGCUGUAAACGGUGGGUACUAGGUGUGGGGUCCAUUCCACGGGUUCCGUGCCGUAGCUAACGCUUUAAGUACCCCGCCUGGGGAGUACGGCCGCAAGGCUAAAACUCAAAGGAAUUGACGGGGCCCCGCACAAGCGGCGGAGCAUGCGGAUUAAUUCGAUGCAACGCGUAGAACCUUACCUGGGUUUGACAUGGAUCGGGAGUGCUCAGAGAUGGGUGUGCCUCUUUUGGGGUCGGUUCACAGGUGGUGCAUGCCUGUCGUCAGCUCGUGUCGUGAGAUGUUGGGUUAAGUCCCGCAACGAGCGCAACCCUUGUUCACUGUUGCCAGCACGUUAUGGUGGGGACUCAGUGGAGACCGCCGGGGUCAACUCGGAGGAAGGUGGGGAUGACGUCAAGUCCUCAUGCCCCUUAUGUCCAGGGCUUCACGCAUGCUACAAUGGCUGGUACAGAGAGUGGCGAGCCUGCGAGGGUGAGCGAAUCUCGGAAAGCCGGUCUCAGUUCGGAUUGGGGUCUGCAACUCGACCUCAUGAAGUCGGAGUCGCUAGUAAUCGCAGAUCAGCAACGCUGCGGUGAAUACGUUCCCGGGGCU